ACAACGGCGGCGGCGGCAGUAGGAGACAACGGCUCGCACGGUUCUUCCAAUUGCAUCUCUAAUCAGGUUUAGCGCUUGCAUAAUCAUAUAAUUCGUGGUAUUAAUUUGGUGAAAUGCUCCGAUUUGUUUUCUCGUUUGCAUCCUGUAAAUUUGCAGGCAUAACAAUUGUGCUUCUUCUCUGCAAUUUGUUCUCGUCUCGCUUUCUUUCAUCAUGUAAAUUCAGUGCAAGAUGAGUGGAAGUAACAUGAAUACAUGAUCUUGGGAGUAUUUCAG
rnacentral:sRNA from 1 species